UUAAGGGUUAAGCAGGCAGAUUCAUUUUCUGCCACCGAAUACAUUAGCAUGGGAUAAUGGAAUAGGACCCUGUCCUCCUUUUUUCAGUUGGUUAAUUCAUGAGAGAGGAACAGGGUAAUGAUUAAUAGGGAUAGUUGGGGGCAUUAAUAUUUAAUUGUCAGAGGUGAAAUUCUUGGAUUUAUGAAAGAUUAACUUCUGCGAAAGCAUCUGCCAAGGAUGUUUUCAUUAAUCAAGAACGAAAGUUAGGGGAUCGAAGACGAUCAGAUACCGUCGUAGUCUUAACCAUAAACGAUGCCGACCAGCGAUUAGGAGACGUUGAAUACAAAACACCUCUAUAUAUAAUUCAGUAUAUGGCUAGCAAUGGCUGUAUAUUGUUUGUGUAUAGUUACGGUGAAUGACUCCCCUAGCAGCUUG
rnacentral:rRNA from 1 species